rnacentral:piRNA from 1 species
GCAUGUUUACGUAUUGGUGAGAAAUUCCU